GGGCCUGUAGCUCAGGGGUAGAGCGCUCGCUUUGCAUUCUGAUGUAGAAAAUGCGAGAGGCCUAGGGUUCAAAUCCCUACCGGUCCA